GAUGAACGCUGGCGGCGUGCCUAAUACAUGCAAGUCGAGCGAACGGACGCUACGCUUGCUUCUCUGAUGUUAGCGGCGGACGUGUGUGUCACACGUGUAUCCCCUCCCUAUCUUACUGGUAUCACUUCGGGACACCGGCGCUAACACCGUAUAAUAUUCUGCUCCGCAUUGUUCAAUAGUGAAAGACGGUCUUUCUGUCUCUUCUCGCUGCUUCCGCGCUUCAUUAGCUAGUUGGUAAGGUAACGGCUUAUCAAGGCAACGAUGCCUAGCCGACCUGAGAGAGUGAUCGGCGACACUGGAACUGGAACGCGGACAAGACGACUAAGGGAGGCAGCAGUAGGGAAUCUUCCGCAAAGGGCGAAAGCAUGACGGAGCAACGCCGCGUGAGAGAUGAAGGUCUUCGGAUCGUAAAAAUGUGUUAUUAGGGAAGAACAUAUGUGGAAGUAAAUGUGCACAUCUUGACGGUACCUAAUCAGAAAGCCACGGCUAACUACGUG
rnacentral:rRNA from 1 species